GUAGUCGUGGCUGAGUGGUUAAGGCGAUGGACUUGAACUCCAUGUGGGUUUCCCAUUGCAGGUUUGAAUCCUACUGACUACG